UGCCAGCCGAGACAGCACAGACAGACCGACCGACUGGGGUGUUUCGCUGGCUUCACUGCCUGCGACACCCUGCCUGGGCUGCCCAACUGGCUGGCAAGAUGAAGCUCUCCCUGGUAUGGCGAUGCUGCUGCUG
rnacentral:other from 1 species